GAUGAACGCUGGCGGCGUGCCUAAUACAUGCAAGUCGAGCGAACAGACGAGGAGCUUGCUCCUCUGACGUUAGCGGCGGACGGGUGAGUAACACGUGGAUAACCUACCUAUAAGACUGGGAUAACUUCGGGAAACCGGAGCUAAUACCGGAUAAUAUAUUGAACCGCAUGGUUCAAUAGUGAAAGCCGGUUUUGCUGUCACUUAUAGAUGGAUCCGCGCCGCAUUAGCUAGUUGGUAAGGUAACGGCUUACCAAGGCAACGAUGCGUAGACGACCUGCGAGGGUGAUCGGCCACACUGGAACUGAGACACGGUCCAGACUCCUACGGGAGGCAGCGGUAGGGAAUCUUCCGCAAUGUGCGAAAGCCUGACGGAGCAACGCCGCGUGAGUGAUGAAGGUCUUCGGAUCGUAAAACUCUGUUAUUAGGGAAGAACAAAUGUGUAAGUAACUAUGCACGUCUUGACGGUACCUAAUCAGAAAGCCACGGCUAACUACGUG
rnacentral:rRNA from 1 species